UUGUACUAAUAUAGCAUAUAACUGAUAUCUCUCUGCCCUAGUAUUCUUAAUGCAUUUAUGUGGAUUAUAUGGGCAUUUAUGUUUGCUUUCAGUAAUGGGAUAAAUAUAUAUUUAUAUAUUAUAUAGGAGAGUAUUAAUACUUUUUUAUGACAUAUAGUUCUAAUAUUGUACUUAUAAUGACGAUAAACUGUAUUAUAAGUUUAAGACUAUAUUGUUCCAUUUCUGCAGAUUCAGCAGCUCCUGAUUAUGAUGCUGGCAUGUCCAAUAACAGCGGACUUCCCAAUCAGGAGCAAGAGUCUGAGCCAGAGAAGGACACUGAGGAUGAUAAUUCCACCUCUUCCAGUCCUCCAUUACCAGUAAGUAGAUUCUACAGAUAUUAUUCUUUAACAGGCACAAAAGCUUAGGAGGGUUCUUAAGUUAUACAAAAACCAAUAAGUAUAAUUAGAUGAGUAAAUCUUUACUUCAAGGUUUGCAUUUGCAAACUGUUCAUUCUUAAUGGUGCACAUGUGAAAUUCUUGCAAUGUUCAUUCUGUGCAUAAUGCUCAUUUGUCCUUUAUUUGCAGCUCUGCAGUCCUGACUUUGGCUCAGAUUUUGACAAUAAAAUACAGGGUGCUGAAGGACCAUCUAUCAGCCCUGUUGAGCCCAGAUCUCCCUCACUUGAAAAUUUCAACCUGGGCCCAGUGUUGGGAGAAGGAGCAUUUGGGAAGGUAUUCCUAGCCGAGCACAAAAACACCAAAGAACUAUGUGCUAUCAAGGCCCUGAAAAAAGAGGAGAUUUUGAAAAGGGGCAACUUGGACAGUGUCUUCAAAGAGAAGGAAAUCCUCCAGAGGGUGAGUUCUGCCGAACACCCGUUCCUAGUGUCAAUGCAUGGAACCUUCCAGACGGAGUCUCACCUAUUUUGUGUGAUGGAAUAUCUCCCUGGAGGUGACAUGUAUGAAUUUGUAACAUCUGUGGAACUGCAAGAACCUGACAUCAUGUAAGUAGAAUGGGAAUGAGGGAAUAAGUUUUUCAAAGGGGCACUUUCAGUGAAGCAUCAUCUCAGCAUAUAUUUUUACAAUGUAACGUAAUACAAGCAAAGCUACACCUAUCAUACAGAUAACUAUCUUUCUUCUCACUAUGAUCACCUCAAUUCUCACAUCAGCUUAUAUAUCAAUAAAGAAAAAAUAUUUAAAGUAACUAAAUUUUAUUUUUUCUCUUUUCAGGUUUUACACCGCAUGUGUCGUUCUUGGCCUGGAGGCAUUACACCACCUUGGCAUUGUCCAUAGAGAUAUAAAGCUUGAGAAUUUGCUGUUGGACCGGGAUGGCUACCUUAAGAUCGUAGACUUCGGCCUCAGCAAAGACAGUAAGUGUUGCUUAUAAUUCUGGGGCAUACAGGGGAUAAGAUCAGGUUAUUAGGUAUUGUUAUAUUUAGAUAUAGUGUUAUUACGCUCCUCUACUGACCUGCUCCUCAACUC